rnacentral:rRNA from 1 species
AACGAACGCUGGCGGCAUGCCUAACACAUGCAAGUCGAACGAGACCUUCGGGUCUAGUGGCGCACGGGUGCGUAACGCGUGGGAACCUGCCUUUAGGUUCGGAAUAACUCAGAGAAAUUUGAGCUAAUACCGGAUGAUGUCUUCGGACCAAAGAUUUAUCGCCUUUAGAUGGGCCCGCGCUGGAUUAGCUAGUUGGUGGGGUAAAGGCCUACCAAGGCGACGAUCCAUAGCUGGUCUGAGAGGAUGAUCAGCCACACUGGGACUGAGACACGGCCCAGACUCCUACGGGAGGCAGCAGUGGGGAAUAUUGGGCAAUGGGCGAAAGCCUGAUCCAGCAAUGCCGCGUGAGUGAUGAAGGCCUUAGGGUUGUAAAGCUCUUUUACCCGAGAUGAUAAUGACAGUAUCGGGAGAAUAAGCUCCGGCUAACUCCGUG